AAAUAAUGAUUACUUUGUCUUCUCCUUCCUAAAUGUCUCUCUCUUAUAUUAUCUUAUCCUGUUAUAUUGACCAGAACUUUGAAAGUAAUGUUAAAUAAUGAUGUUGCUAAUGUUCCUAACUUAAUGGUAAAAUUUCAAAUGCUUCACCAUUAAAGUGUGAUAUGCUGGCAGUUAGUUUGUAACAUAUAUUUCUAACCAUGUGUAUUGCUGAUGCUGUUUGUGACGCCAGCUGUCUUGCUGUUCACACUGUUCGCCUUGCUCGCUGGACCAGGGUAGGGCAAGGCGCAAGAUGAGAGGCUGGAAGAAAAUGAGAGGAGCUGUAGGAACUGCAGAUGCGUUUAUUCUCUCCUCUCUGGCAUGAAAGCCGUAACACAGCCUCUCUGCUGGCUGACGCAUCAUCCAUAGCAGCGAACAGCACAGCAACAUAACCGCACACAGCCCUUCAGGGCUUUCCCAGGUGAGGCUUACGCGGCGUACUGCGCACAGCAACCCCAGACCAAGCAAGCGCCUCACGACGCGCAUGCGCAGUGCUAUAACGAUCUCAGCUGUUGCAUAGUCAUUAUUUACAAAACGUGGGGCGAGAGAGCCUGAACACGCCAGCCCGGCUAAUUUGCCCUCUCCACGCACUCCACCCCUUCAGGGUCUCUCGCCUCACAUUCUACGCCCGGCCCAUCUGCGAUUUUCCCUUGGGGAGUAACGCUGACCCUAGGAUUUACUUCUUGCAUCAGCUACAAGAACAAGCUGUUACAUCCCCAACACGUAGCAAAACCCAACUCCGGGUGUCACCUGGAACGCAUGUGGCAGUCCUCGCCCUCACGGGGCUAGAAGGGCCACCAUUCAUAGGUGGAGUGCCUUUAUCUGCCAUGGCCAAGUCCGGUCCACUGUCUGUCCUCGUGAGAGUGCAGGAAGGCCUCCGCAGAGGCAACCCCACUCCUGCGGGACUUUUAUUAAGGACCUGCAAAACACGCCACAGGUGCCGGGUCCACCAAAGAGGGGGUUUUUGUGGCCUUCACAGCCCACCCGCAUAUCCCAAA
rnacentral:lncRNA from 1 species